rnacentral:rRNA from 1 species
GACGAACGCUGGCGGCGUGCUUAACACAUGCAAGUCGAACGCUGAAGCUCAGCUUUUGUUGGGUGGAUGAGUGGCGAACGGGUGAGUAACACGUGAGUAACCUGCCCCCUUCUUUGGGAUAACGCCCGGAAACGGGUGCUAAUACUGGAUAUUCACUGGUCUUCGCAUGGGGGUUGGUGGAAAGGGUUUUUCUGGUGGGGGAUGGGCUCGCGGCCUAUCAGCUUGUUGGUGGGGUGAUGGCCUACCAAGGCUUUGACGGGUAGCCGGCCUGAGAGGGUGACCGGUCACAUUGGGACUGAGAUACGGCCCAGACUCCUACGGGAGGCAGCAGUGGGGAAUAUUGCACAAUGGGCGCAAGCCUAAUGCAGCGACGCCGCGUGAGGGAUGGAGGCCUUCGGGUUGUGAACCUCUUUCGCUCAUGGUCAAGCCGCAACAAUGGUUGUGGUGAGGGUAGUGGGUAAAGAAGCGCCGGCUAACUACGUG